ensembl:lncRNA
CCCAGACCACCCCGGGACCCUUUGACUCUCCUCGUUUCUCCGUCCCUCCAACCAAAAACCUCUCAGCAGGUAAGACUCCGCUUCUUCCAGCUGGUGCUGCUUCAAAAAGUACUUCCCGGCUGUCCGUCUGCUCUUGUUUUUGUCUCCUGUUUCCUUUGAAGUGGUCUGUGUCUGUUCCCUCUGGCCUCGCCUCCUUCCCCGCAUGCAUCUGUCAAGUUUCCCCCCCGUGGCGCUUCUGUCCCCCUCAGAAAAGUGACACAGUUUGCAUGAGAUACAAUGAGUGAGGUCAGUGUAUUUUUCUUCAUCCUCUGAUGUCAACACCCCCCCCCUCUGUCUCUCUCUCUCUCUCUCUACCACACAAUCUCUUCAUCUUCUCUCCCUCUUGUCUUUUGUAAUCUCAUUCGCUCCGGCGUUGAGCGUGUGCAAAUUCUUUGUGGUAAAGUGAGUCAAGCAUUUUAAUUCUGCCCAGAGCGAGAGGACAUCGUGACGCGUUUCUGGUUACGGGAAAUUCAUCCCUAAUUCAUUUUUUGAAAAGUGUUUAUGUUAGUUGGUGAUGGCUAUUUAUAGGUGCUGACGCGUCAGGCACACGUGUUUCCGCUUCCACGACGCCCGGGGACAGAACACAGGACUGUCCACUGGCUCCAGAAAGCAUGACAUUGCACAAAGUGUAAUGACUUUAUGAGGCAUUGACUUGCCCGAUUGAAUCAAGCAAUCCUUCCAGCAGGACGAGUCCGGUAUUAACGUGGCCCAUAAAGCCGUCCUGGCAACAGCCAGCGAGGAACACAUCCGUACAGCAGAGGAGACACAAAAAACUGCUUCGUUCUCCAUCCGCACAUCCUGUACUUUACCAGGAAGGGAAAGCGGUGUGUGUGUGUGUGUGUGUGUGUGUGUGUGUGUGAGGGAGACGGAGAUACUGCUAAAUUGCUUGAGACAUCAAUACUGUCAGCCUGCAGCUUUUAAAGGCACUCUAUCAUAUCUGGAAAUUGGACCUUACAACAAUGUCAACAACUGAGGAAAUGCUUCCCAUUGCGCAAUGUUUUUUUUUUCUUUUAGAUGGAUAGAUUGAUACUUUAUUGAUCCCUGAUUGAUUUUGAUGGCUUCUCUGAGGAGUCGUGUGUUCACGUGUUUAAAUAUGAGUGGCUAAAGAUGGAUAUAAAAGGUUUUCAUUCCCAUGAUUAGUUCAUUUUGAUAUCUAAAUUUCUACAUUUAAACAUAAAAUUUCCAAUACGGUCUUCGAGUCUUCACAUAAUUCAAUAUAAAAAUAUAACAUUAUUAUAAUCCAUUAACUUACAGAAGGGACUUUGAUCUGUGACAAAGCAUCUUGGGAACGCGAGUUGUCGCUUUUAUUAAGAUGAUUUUGACGACUGAACAAAAAGAACAGGCAUCUACGACAGCUUCAAUCUAACUAUAACUUAUAUUUAAAAUGUGUAUCGUGUUUCUGACCAUUGAAACUGCUUUGAAGAGCGCAUUGAUGAUGUUGUUAGCGACGGUCACGUCUAAAUUCACGCAUUUAGAUUGUUGGUGUAUUAGUACGUGUCAAUCGGGUGUCUGUCUUUGUGAGCAAACAUGCAGCUGUUUGUCACAACUGUCAGCUGGCGGUGAGCUAGAAGCAAAUUAUUCACUAUGACUCUCACUUCAUCACAAACAGCAUGUUGAUAGGAGGCCUCUAAACCUAAAACAGAGUUUUGGCUGGAUGUAAUAUUAUAUUGCUUAUUGACCAAAAACAAAAUUUCAGUUGAAAAAUGUGCGUCUGCAAUGAGAGCAAACAUGGCAGAUUGAAUUCACCUGCAAGAUUUUGUUUGUAUUUUGUGAAUUAUGUAUUUUUAUGGACAAAAAGAUGAUUUUCGGACCUACUUGGGAUUUGCUUUUUGGUUAUAGCAAAAAUCUCUUUCUUACUCAUACUUCAAAAGCUUGGAAGCAUUCAUGUCAGUGACAUCUUAAUGUCUGACUCAUAUUAAUUUAAGAGAUAUUGCGGCCAAUUUAACAUGUGUGUUUUGUUUAAGCCGCUCUGCAGCCUUGUUUAAUGCACUUUCUGCGCGUCACCUCCUUCGGUGAAAGCGCUCAUAAGAAUGCAAACAUGAAACUCGUUGUAGAAUGACAUAUUUAUUGGCCUCGCUGGUGUGUUUUGCACAUUCCUCCCUAAGCCACAGCUUUAAGCUUAAAUCCGGCGGCAUGCGGAUGACAAUGAGUGUGCAUCGCCGUGUCGGACCAGUUUUACACUCGCGCAUCACAUAAUGACACAGAUGUCAGUCAGGGGCACUCGGUGUCGUGAAGGUUUGGAAAUAGAGCCGGGCGAAGCCAGCAGAGUGACAGCAUAUGAAAUGUGAGCGGACGGGCUUUUGUUUUUCAAAUAAUGUCACUGAGAAACAAUGAGGACGGGGCAGAAGAGGCCAUAUGGCACCCUGGCUUGUAGCCAUUCAAGUGAAUCCUCACCAAUCAUACAUUACACCACAUAUGCUUUAUGAACGUCUUGACGUUGGAUGUGUUCCUCUUUCCACUGCUGAUUCGGAACCAGCGAGCGGUAAAGCGACCGAUCACAUGAUCACAUGUAUCCAGCAUAUUCCUUCUGUGGCAGGCCGAUGCUCUGCAAGCAGCUGGCCCUUUGUGCCUCGGCCCAGUCGAGCCGUUCCGGAUCUCCCGCUGGCCUGGCACGGGCCGCAGAGUGCCGGGAGUUGCCUGGCUCAGUGUGAAAAAGCCCACUGACAUUGACAAGCCAGCGCCUUGGUGGCUCCCACGGAAUGAUGGAGGGCAAAUGGUCGCACGCGAAAGGCCUGCAGAGGAGGGAAGUGUGUUUGGUCUGUCAGGGAUGAUUGACUGGUUCCUUUUUCCGAAAACUAACCUUAAACGGGGUCACUACUGCUUACGAUAUAAACGCAUGCAGAAUACAUCAUUUUUAUUCGGUUACACCAAAGUAUGAAUUCAUAUUUUGUGGACUUGUAUUUGUGAUACACCAAUCUCGGUUAUUUAACCUUAAGUGUUAACACACAGUAGGAGAUUGUGUUGCUGCAACACAAAUGAAGUGUCAUUACAGCCACAUUGUGUUCAUAAAUGAUCUUGAUCAACUUGAAAACCAACAUGUUUUAAAUAAGAAUGUAUGGAACUCCUGUUAUUUUGGUAAACAAAGAACAUCACACACAAUAUUGGAUGAGUUAUAUCUAAACUGAAUUACAGAAAUCUGAUCUAUAUGCAGGUUUUAUUUUGGAUAGUAUAACUGAUGAAAAUUACACUUCAACAAGAACAUGCUUUUGUUUUCUUUGGGCUUUUAAUGAAUGACUUCAUAGAAAGAAAGAGUUAUUUGUUCAUAGGUUAAAUUCUGUUUAUUAAUAUCUCAUAUCAGGCACUGAACUUAUUCUUUUUUCAGUUUUUUUUUAUUUAAUUUAAUUUUGUAAAUGUGAUACAGAUGAUGUCAAAUAACUGUUGAUAUCUGGAGACACAUUGCUUAGCAUCUAUGUGUGUGUCUGUGGGUGUGUGUGUGUACACUAAUGCACAGAAAUCUGUCAGUCACAAAACACAGGCUCAGCUGAUCACACAAACAACCCACUGGAUGCUCCUGCUGCCGCUGACUUGUUUUUACCUCUCGCUCAUUUUGUUGGUUAGUAGUCUUCUGUCACUGAACUGGGCUGUAAACUUGAAAAACAAUCCAUCCUGUGUCAUAAUUCAUGACCGAAUGCGAGGGGUCGGGGCGGUGAUGCAGUGCCAGAGGCUGAGAUUAAACACGGCACCCUUUAGCGCCAUUGGAGAGAAUUAUGACCUUUGAAAUCUGAGCCUCUUUUUUUGUCUAUUUCCAAAGGUGUAAUUUAAGCUGGUGAAGGGCUGCGAGAUCAAUCAGAGAGGAUGCGGCGUCGGGAGAAAUGAAAGCGGCUGCGGGUUAAGAAGGGAAAGGUGGAGCAGGAACAGGGCUUCUGCCUUCCCCGCUGCUCUCUCUGGGUGGUGAAGUACGACCACAAAUAGGCGGUCCUCUGCCCCUUGUGUUGGUGCUAUUUUUAUACUCGCUAAUGCAGGGGGUUUGGAGAACCAGCUCAAGUGGUGAAGUGACAAGAACAUAUUAUUGUUGGCUUGGAGUUGAGAGAGCUGCAGUGAUCAAAGGAUUAAGCAUGCCCAUGGAGGCUGUGACAGAAUUACCCUUGCGUUGUUAAUUCUUUAUUACAUCAGGGCUCUGAUGGGCUCACUUUUUCCUCAGCGUGGAUACGACAUUUGUUGAAGUAUUUGUACAUUGGAUCAAUUUCUGGGUAUGGAUUGUGUUUUGGUUCAAGAUAUUAUAGUUAGUUUAGAGGUCCAACCUUCAUCCACAGGUUCACGUUUUUGCCUACUUUGUUUCUCCACAGUCGACCUUUUUCAGAAUUUUCUGUUCUUGGUAUAAAAAACAAGAAAGGUGGGACGGUUUCAGAGGAAUUCGGUCAAAACAGCGUGUUUUAGCGGGGCUUAUGAAAUCCAAGUGAAAUGAACGAGAGAAGGAUGAAAUGAAUGGCAUGCCGCAAUAAUUUGGCAGUAGUUUGACAUUUGAUGAGCACAAUGAAAAGAAGGGCAGAUAUGGAAUAUCAUCCUUUGACUUUGGAUGAUGCGAGUUAACUAUCCAUUCAUUUAAAUGAGUCGGAUUCUGAGUGGUUUGCAAAAAAAGAACAUUUGUACCUUGUACUAGACUAUCAAAUAUGUUGAAAAUACAGGGAUGACAUGGUAUUAGUGGGCACCCCAAAUUCUGCAGAUGAAUAAUAUGCAUAUACAUACAUACCUAUGUACAGUACUGGGAUCAUACCAAAUCACAUCUAAUCAAUCAGUACAUAGUAGAGAGAGAAGAUCAACAGUAAGAAACGGGGUGACAGUUGUUGGGAUCUCUGAUCCCCCCGAGUUGGUAGAUGAGAAGAAUCGCAGCACGUUAAUCAAUUAAAGUCAAAAAGGUAACAUUUAUAAAGAAGAGAAAAAGAUUACAUGAGCAAUUCUCCGCAGAUAUAUUUGGCUCUAAUUAUGGCUUGCAAGCAGGAGGUCAAAUACACCGACACGUAUUACAGAGUUUUCAUACACAUAGGAAGGCCAUCCUCAGUGCAGGUACGAGAAGCUGCAAACACAAGUUGAGAUAAGAACCACGGUUAAGAUGAGGGUAACGCACACAGUUCCUUUGUUCGAGCGUCUGUGUGAGCAAGUUAACUCCCUUCUUCAGACACAGCUGCAUGUGGAGACCGUACAUCUUUCUGCUUGUGCACAUCACUUCAUUAAAGACAAUAAUCACUCUUUCAGCAUAAGACUGUGUUAUAACAUAUUUUUAGUAUUACAUGCAUCUCACACAAUAAUCCCUUUUUUCAGAAUAAUGAGUAGACAUAUUCUUCAUGAUCCUUAUUGGUAUUUGAGCGCUUGUUCCUCAACCUUCUGUUAAGGGCUGCAUGGUGGUGUGCUGGCUAUUGCUAUAGAUUCCCCGGUUAUGGGGAGUUGGCAGGUUUUUCCCGUGUCAGCGCGGGUUUUCUCUUCCCACACUCCCUCCAGUUGAUCCGGUUGAUCUCUCUGGUGAAGUUGGUGUGAGUGUGAAUGGUUUUGCGUCUCUAUGUGUCAACCUGUGACUUGGUUUGUUGACCAGUCCAGAGCUGAUCGUGCAUUUGUAGCUGUCUGUAUGUCCAUGCUGUGACUUCCUUGACAACCGUUCAUGGAUUGGGCGUUCUGCUGAGGACCCAAAGGGUUGCAUUGUUGACUGUGAGCUCUUGAGAUCUGUGGGACACAUUUAUUAGUAGUGGGUUAUAUGCACACCGUGUGGUGAGAGGACCACUGUUGAGUGUGACAUUGCAGAUGAUGCGUGGGCUUUUGCUCUCGACGACGGUCUGCUCAACACACCCGACAUGGCGGGUGUGUUGAGCGGGACCAGAGGAGACGAACGCUCAUCGUUGUUUGGAUGCGCGCUCGUUGACAAAGCUGCAAGCAGCGACCUCACAGGUCGAGCACUUUGUUCUGAACGGGCUCGUUAUCAACAGGAAGUUGAAUUUUAAAACAAUAAAUGUCCAUCCUUGUGGUACCAGACUGUAUUUCCAUUUCUCGUACUCGCACUUCAGACACACUUAAGUGCUGACAGUCACCUGUGUCACAGCGCUGCAAUAACAAACAAUCCUCUCUGUUCAACUCCCAUGAAAUUACCGUUCGGGGAGAUGUUUUACUUUAUUAAAAAAGGUGUAUAAUGAUACUGCGGUAAACAUUUUUUUAAUGUAGAAAUAUAUUUUCACUACGCAGAGGCAGAACAUGUAUAACAGUCAUAUGACAGUUCAGCACCUGCCGACAGUAUGAGGUCCCACAAACGGUGCAGUGGGUCGACACACAUUGGCUGGAUUUUACCAAAACAAUGAAGAUCCCACUGUCAUCCACAGUGUGCAGAUUGUAAAGUGUAAUAAUUACACUGAAUGUGAUGAUGCACAGCACAUAAACACUUCCACAGCACACAAAAUGCACUUUGUGUACUUAAAGAAAAAAGGGGAAAACACACACACACACACACACGCAUCUGCAGCUUACAGUGAAAAUGCACGUCUGGUGAUGUUAGGAGGGAGUGCGGCAGAUAUCCUAAAGCCCGUCUCGUAGCCUGGGCUCUUGGCACUCGCCGCUGCCUCUCAGCGUUUUCGCUUGAUUAAAAAAGCGCCCAGGAGUUCGUAAGCGUGUGGUAGGUGCGAGCGCACACCCUGACAGCUUAACAUACUGAUUAUUCAAGCCUCUUAGGCUAAGCCACGGCACUCGAGUGAUGAACGUCAGCUCCCCUCUCUUCCACGCACAGUCUCGAUUUCUCCCUCCCUUUUAUUCUUCGUUUCGAAAGAGUGGAAAGCCAGUGACAGCUUGCAGAAAGCAAACCUGUUGUCUGGGAAGCGGAGGGGAUCAGUGACACGGUGAUUCAUACAGCACCGGGGCUUUAUUUAGACAACCCUCCCCUCCCCCCGGUGUAGGGUCCUUGCCCCCAACUUGUAUGGAGGGCCGGGCUGGGUAUUGUCCUACAGCGUAGACCACAGGACAAGAGGUUUAAUGCAUUGGUGAUUGUCCUCUAUACUCUGAUGUCCCCCUGCAAAGGUCACAUUAUCACUGCUGUUUUGUCAUUAUAACUAAUUGUACCCUUUUUCCGGGACGCCUAAUGUGUAGGAUCUGGUGUCAUCCUAGAUGAUGUAUUUCACCCUCCCUGCUCUGUGGUUACUGCACAAGGGCACAAUGCACAGUAUUGGCAUCACAGUUUCUGCAUAACUGUCCCCUUUGAUUUUCUGCAGCGAGAAGGUUUAAACUCAUGCAUAUUCAUGUUCUCAUUAAAAAGUCGUUGUAGACAUAUAGACACAUUCGUGUAACGGUUACGCUGAAUUGCACAGGGAUGUGUGUACGCGGUGUGUGCCAGUUGGUGGUUCUGCCAGUAAAAGCCGUCCCUUUCUGUGUAGGCUGUGGGUUCUCUGAGCUCGCUGGCAAAGGCCGGGGCCACUACCGCCGAGUCACACCUGUACAACAGAUCGGCCCCGGCUGGAGGCCGAGGCAAGAACCGACACAGCAGACGCUCACCUCGUGAUUCAACUCCUGAAGUGGACACGCUCAAUGGAAGGGAGGAUAAAAGGCCACUUCAACAGCAUUGCAUCCGUCACAGUAAAAAAGGAUAUGAAAAAUAAGAUGUCUGUCAGAUCUCUCAGUAUGUUGUUCUCUUGUUAUGUUCUACACGUUUGCAUAAAUAAAAUAAACACUUUGGUUAGCUAGUGUCAAUUAUUUAAGGCAGCAGGACAAAGCCCUUCAAAACACUAUUACAAAGUGCUUUACUGGUAACAAAAUCCUAUUUAGGUGUCAUUAAGGUCGGAUAUGAGGGAACAGCCUGUGCAGGGAUUCAGCAGGUUACCACAUUCAGAUGCAAGACUCAAGACUGGAAGUGUUUUGAUCAGUGGCCACUGGGGGGGCCGGGGGGGGUACUUUUUCAAAUAUGAUAUCAGAGCAAAAUCAAUGCUGUUCCAUCAAAAACGCAUUACUAUUACCAUUGCGCAUUGAAGAUGUUACCAUGUUAUUUACUGCUUUUUUUGUGUUGGAACAUUUUUAAAUAUAGUAAUGUUAACGGUAAUAGUAAUGCGUUUUAGAUACCUACCUUCAUUAUUUGAUGGUAAAUCAUACUGGGAUGUUUGCUGAAAUCGAUGACCGUACCUGGAAAAUAUUCCACCGGCUGCCAUUGAUUUCCUGAUUGCCUCUCAACAUUUCACCGACGAUCUUUGUUAAAGAGAGUGAGUUUAAGAGGAUGAGUUUUCAUUAUCUAUGAUGCGGUUGUCAGGCUGGUGAACAAGCCCGGGCAACCAGUCUGUCAACGCUGCCGUUCAAUCUCCUUCAUGUGUCUCUUCUUUCUCAUUUUCUCCUCCGGUCUCAGAGGAGAAACGAUGCCAUAGCCGUGCUCUCUGUUUCCCUGACACACUUUGCCUGAACGCUCUCUUCAUUCAUUUAUACCCUUUUUAUUUUCAUGCUUUCAUACUUUACGCCAUGCGCUGAGCAGGAUGCCAAGUCAGCGAGAACUCAGCCGAGUGCGCUUAAGCAGAUGUAGAAAAGGAGGCGAGCUUGAGAAAACCCUUCCGUGGGUUUCUGCCGCUGGGGUGCGUUCAGCAUCUUAGGUGGUGGGUUUGAUGGUUUGUAUGUGUGUGUCAGGGUGGAGGUGGGGGGGGGGGGGGUUCAGCAUCUUAGGUGGUGGGUUUGAUGGUUUGUAUGUGUGUGUCAGGGUGGAGGUGGGGGAGGGGGUUCAGCAUCUUAGGUGGUGUAUUUGAUGGGUUUGUAUGUGUGUGUCAGGGUGGAGGGUUCAGCAUCUUAGGUGGUGUAUUUGAUGGGUUUGUAUGUGUGUGUCAUGGUGGAGGUGGGGGGGGGUUCAGCAUCUUAGGUGGUGUAUUUGAUGGGUUUGUAUGUGUGUGUCAUGGUGGAGGUGGGGGAGGGGGUUCAGCAUCUUAGGUGGUGGGUUUGAUGGGUUUGUAUAUGUGUGUCAUGGUGGAGGUGGGGGAGGGGGUUCAGCAUCUUAGGUGGUGGGUUUGAUGGGUUUGUAUGUGUGUGUCAGGGUGGAGGGUUCAGCAUCUUAGGUGGUGUAUUUGAUGGGUUUGUAUGUGUGUGUCAUGGUGGAGGUGGGGGGGGGUUCAGCAUCUUAGGUGGUGUAUUUGAUGGGUUUGUAUGUGUGUGUCAGGGUGGAGGUGGGGGUUCAGCAUCUUAGGUGGUGUAUUUGAUGGGUUUGUAUGUGUGUGUCAGGGUGGAGGUUGGGGGGGGGGGGGGGGGGGUCAGCAUCUUAGGUGGUGUAUUUGAUGGGUUUGUAUGUGUGUGUCAGGGUGGAGGUGGGGGGAUUCUGCUGUAAGGAAAUGGGGGCAGCUUAAAAUCCCAUUAGCCCGGGCUGCGCUUUUCCACCCACAACCUAAUUCAUUAAUAACUAAAAAUCUCAGAGACCCCCCCUAGGGGCCACAUUUAACAAUUACAUCAUGUACUACUAGGAGUAGUAUUUGAACCGGAUGCAUCAAAAUGCUGAAAGUGUACUUUGACUCUUAUUAAAUGAGCUGUCAAACGUCACCUUUCGUCAGAGCUCCUUCUCGCUGUCUGUCUUUUCGUCCCACAUUAGGUAAGAGGGAAUGCUCUUAACCCUCCCUCCCUGCUCUAUUAUUCAUUUAAUGGAAGACUGAAUCUGUGUCAGUGCAGCGGCUCACACAUUGUUUUAGACCUCGUGAGCUACAGUGGCGUUCCUUCUCACCUGCCUUUGCUUUGUUCUUUUUUCUUGACGUGACAUACGCUUGUCCUCUUAUGUCCUCUCUUUGUGUGAUCCCUUGGUGACAUUAGUGACAUUGUUAUAUCGAUGCUUCGAAUACUGAUGCUUGGUCCAGCGUCUACGUAACCCUCUGUGUCCUCAAUGUCCUAUGUGUCAGGGACCAUGUGUGUAAUAUAAACGUGUUAAUGCACAGGAGGUUUUAAAAAUGAAAAUAUUUAUUUCCAGGACAAUAGAUGCAUACAAUAAACGGACUUUGUUAAGUUCACGUGCCUCAUGAUUCACAAUGAUUCAAGGGACUAACUACGUUAGCAAGUUGACACAAUGUCAAAGUUGACAUUGUGUUAGUUUUGCACAGGACACCUGGAGAGGUUUCCUAGACAAAAGUCCUGGGAAUAUUUGACCAAUCCAACCUCCCCCACAUCCGCGUAGUGUGGAUUGUCUCGUACUAUUGUUUAAUAAUGGUUUCAGUCCGCGUACAUCCACAUACUAAAGUCGUGGAAGAGCACAAGGCGAGCUGCAUUAUUUGAUGGCUCGGGAUUGAGCACGGAUUGGAAUUGACGCUGUCACACCAAGUGGAUCAAAUUAACUGCAGGAACAUCCUCUUGAUUCCUUUUUUUAUACAUUUUUUACGGCUCAACGUGAGCUGAGCCACAAUCUGUUUCCCUGCAGGAGAAUCAAAAGAGGGAGCAGACUAUCUAACCAGCAUGGUGUGAUCUACCCGCACACAGAUUUGAUGGGACUUGAUCCAUUAGCUAAUUUGCUUUCGUCGUUCUGCAAGAGGCAGUAUUGGCGCGUUUCCACCGAGCGGUAUGGUACGGUACAGUACAGGUCGGUACGGGUCGGGUCUGUUAACCAUGAUUUGGCGAGCGUUUCCACCGCCAACAGUACACUUACUUGAUAGGCGUGGUGUAUUCCAGAAAGUAGUGAUAACGUCACUUCAUAGGCGUGGUAUAUCACGGAAAGUAGAUUGACGUCAUUCGAUCGCGCAAAAGCUGAAAGCUUACACAUACGGCCGAUCCUGUUCUUGCUUCUCGGUAUGCGGCUGCUUCUCACAUGGAGAC